rnacentral:rRNA from 1 species
GAUGAACGCUAGCGGCAGGCCUAAUACAUGCAAGACGAACGGUAAGUUGAGUAGCAAUACUUGACCUAGAGUGUCGCACGGGUGCGUAACACGUAUGCAACCUACCCAUAACAGGAGGAUAGCUCCCCGAAAGGGGAAUUAACCCUCCAUAGUAAUAUUGGAUGGCAUCAUUUGAUAUUUAAAACUGAGGUGGUUAUGGAUGGGCAUGCGUCUGAUUAGUUAGUUGGCGGUGUAACGGACCACCAAGACGAUGAUCAGUAGGGGAACUGAGAGGUUGAUCCCCCACACUGGCACUGAGAUACGGGCCAGACUCCUACGGGAGGCAGCAGUAGGGAAUAUUGGUCAAUGGAUGGAAGUCUGAACCAGCCAUGCCGCGUGCAGGAAGAAGGCCUUAUGGGUUGUAAACUGCUUUUGCCAGGGGAUAAAAUAGCUGUGCGCAGCGAAUUGCAGGUACCUGGUGAAUAAGCCACGGCUAACUACGUGCCAGCAGCCGCGGUAAUACGUAGGUGGCAAGCGUUGUCCGGAUUUAUUGGGUUUAAAGGGUGCGUAGGCGGCCUUGUAAGUCAGUGGUGAAAUACUCCAGCUUAACUGGAGGGGUGCCAUUGAUACUGCAGGGCUUGAGUAAAGUUGAAGUUGGCGGAAUUGACGGUGUAGCGGUGAAAUGCUUAGAUAUCGUCAAGAACACCGAUAGUGAAGACAGCUAACUAAGCUUUAACUGACGCUGAGGCACGAAAGUGUGGGGAUCAAACAGGAUUAGAUACCCUGGUAGUCCACACUGUAAACGUUGAUGACUCGCUGUUGGCGAUACACUGCCAGCGGCCAAGCGCAAGCGAUAAGUCAUCCACCUGGGGAGUACGCCGGCAACGGUG